AGUUCUUUGUAACGUCUCAGGUAAGUGGGACUAAUGUUUCACCCAGCACAUUGCAGGCAACAUCUGGAUGAAUGGUUUCCUUGUUCCUACAGAAUGGGGCUCAGUCUGCAUUCUCUGUGUUCAGGCCCUCUGAUUCUCUCUCCACCACUCUCUUGCUGGAUCUUUGGGACAGAUAUUAUUGCAACCUAAGUUGGAAGGUAGCAAAGAAGAUUUUCCGGUUCCUUCCAUCUCUAUUUGCCCACCCCCCAAGCUUCCCGUUCCAUGAGAAAGAAGGGGCACUUUGACGAUGGAGCUCUGAUGAAAAGCCCCAAUCCUACUGAAUCCAAAUCCUCACUCUGGUCGACAUGGAUGGGCCUUUUGGGUCUCACCACUUGGAAGCUUACUUACAGUGUGGACUUUCUCGGGCCCCUGUCCUCAGAAGAAUUCUGGCGAUGGGCACGUUGUUGGUCAUGAUGGCGAUAUCCAGAGGCGUCAGCCCCUCAC